rnacentral:tRNA from 2 species
GCGCCCGUAGCUCAGUUGGAUAGAGCGCCAGCCUCCGGAGCUGGAGGCCACAGGUUCGAUUCCUGUCGGGCGCGCCA